rnacentral:rRNA from 1 species
GAUGAACGCUGGCGGCGUGCCUAAUACAUGCAAGUCGAGCGAACAGAUGAGGAGCUUGCUCCUCUGACGUUAGCGGCGGACGGGUGAGUAACACGUGGAUAACCCACCUAUAAGACUGGGAUAACUUCGGGAAACCGGAGCUAAUACCGGAUAAUAUAUUGAACCGCAUGGUUCAAUAGUGAAAGACGGUUUUGCUGUCACUUAUAGAUGGAUCCGCGCCGCAUUAGCUAGUUGGUAAGGUAACGGCUUACCAAGGCAACGAUGCGUAGCCGACCUGAGAGGGUGAUCGGCCACACUGGAACUGAGACACGGUCCAGACUCCUACGGGAGGCAGCAGUAGGGAAUCUUCCGCAAUGAGCGAAAGCCUGACGGAGCAACGCCGCGUGAGUGAUGAAGGUCUUCGGAUCGUAAAACUCUGUUAUUAGGGAAGAACAAAUGUGUAAGUAACUAUGCACGUCUUGACGGUACCUAAUCAGAAAGCCACGGCUAACUACGUG